rnacentral:tRNA from 2 species
GCGGGGGUGCCCGAGCAAGGUCAAAGGGGACGGGCUCAGGCCCCGUUGGCGAAGGCCUGCGUGGGUUCAAGUCCCACCCCCCGCA